rnacentral:rRNA from 1 species
AUUGAACGCUGGCGGCAUGCCUUACACAUGCAAGUCGAACGGUAACAGGUCUUCGGAUGCUGACGAGUGGCGAACGGGUGAGUAAUACAUCGGAACGUGCCUAGUAGUGGGGGAUAACUACUCGAAAGAGUGGCUAAUACCGCAUGAGAUCUACGGAUGAAAGCAGGGGAUCGCAAGACCUUGUGCUACUAGAGCGGCCGAUGGCAGAUUAGGUAGUUGGUGGGAUAAAAGCUUACCAAGCCGACGAUCUGUAGCUGGUCUGAGAGGACGAUCAGCCACACUGGGACUGAGACACGGCCCAGACUCCUACGGGAGGAAGCAGUGGGGAAUUUUGGACAAUGGGCGCAAGCCUGAUCCAGCAAUGCCGCGUGCAGGAUGAAGGCCUUCGGGUUGUAAACUGCUUUUGUACGGAACGAAAAGCCCUGGGUUAAUACCCUGGGGUCAUGACGGUACCGUAAGAAUAAGCACCGGCUAACUACGUGCAGCCGCCGCAGUAACAC